GAUCCUGGCUCAGGAUGAACGCUAGCGAUAGGCUUAACACAUGCAAGUCGAGGGGCAGCAUGGUCUUAGCUUGCUAAGACUGAUGGCGACCGGCGCACGGGUGCGUAACGCGUAUGCAACUUGCCUCACAGAGGGGGAUAACCCGUCGAAAGACGGACUAAUACCGCGUACACUCUAUGUUGGGCAUCCAAUGUAGAGGAAAUGAACUUCGCUGUGAGAUAGGCA
rnacentral:rRNA from 1 species